AGCGAACGCUGGCGGCAGGCCUAACACAUGCAAGUCGAACGAACUCUUCGGAGUUAGUGGCGGACGGGUGAGUAACACGUGGGAACGUGCCCUUAGGUUCGGAAUAACUCAGGGAAACUUGUGCUAAUACCGAAUGUGCCCUUCGGGGGCAAGAUUUAUCGCCUUUAGAGCGGCCCGCGUCUGAUUAGCUAGUUGGUGAGGUAACGGCUCACCAAGGCGACGAUCAGUAGCUGGUCUGAGAGGAUGACCAGCCACACUGGGACUGAGACACGGCCCAGACUCCUACGGGAGGCAGCAGUGGGGAAUCUUGCGCAAUGGGCGAAAGCCUGACGCAGCCAUGCCGCGUGAAUGAUGAAGGUCUUAGGGUUGUAAAAUUCUUUCACCGGGGACGAUAAUGACGGUACCCGGAGAAGAAGCCCCGGCUAACUUCGUGCCAGCAGCCGCAGUAAGAC
rnacentral:rRNA from 1 species